rnacentral:rRNA from 1 species
GAGUUUGAUUAUGGCUCAGAUUGAACGCUGGCGGCAGGCUUAACACAUGCAAGUCGAACGAUGAUUACUAGCUUGCUAGUAUGAUUAGUGGCGAACGGGUGAGUAAUGCUUAGGAAUCUGCCUGGUAGUGGGGGACAACUUGGGGAAACUCAAGCUAAUACCGCAUACGACCUACGGGUGAAAGGGGGCGCAAGCUCUCGCUAUCAGAUGAGCCUAAGUCGGAUUAGCUAGUUGGUGGGGUAAAGGCCUACCAAGGCGACGAUCUGUAGCUGGUCUGAGAGGAUGAUCAGCCACACUGGGACUGAGACACGGCCCAGACUCCUACGGGAGGCAGCAGUGGGGAAUAUUGGACAAUGGGCGAAAGCCUGAUCCAGCCAUGCCGCGUGUGUGAAGAAGGCCUUUUGGUUGUAAAGCACUUUAAGUGGGGAGGAAAAGCUUGUGGUUAAUACCCAUAAGCCCUGAC